CCUACGGGAGGCAGCAGUGAGGAAUAUUGGUCAAUGGACGGGAGUCUGAACCAGCCAAGUAGCGUGAAGGAUGAAUGCCCUACGGGUCGUCAACUUCUUUUAUAUGGGAAUAACAUGCUCCACUUGUGGGAUUCUGUCUGUACCGUAUGAAUAAGGAUCGGCUAACUCCGUGCCAGCAGCCGCGGUAAUACGGAAGUCCCGAGCGUUAUCCGGAUUUAUUGGGGUUAAAGGGUGCGUAGGCGGAUGUUUAAGUCAGCUGUAAAAUCGUGAGGCUCAACCGCAUCCCGCCGUUGAAACUGGGGAUCUAGAGUGGACGAGAGGUAUGCGGAAUGCGUGGUGUAGCGGUGAAAUGCAUAGAUAUCACGAAGAACCCCGAUUGCGAAGGCAGCAUACCGGGGCACAACGGACGCUGAGGCACGAAAGCGUGGGUAUCGAACAGGAUUAGAUACCCCAGUAGUC
rnacentral:rRNA from 1 species